rnacentral:lncRNA from 1 species
GCAGGGGCUUCACAGCGUGCGCAGCGCUGACCUGGACAACAUGACACCCGGGCAGCGGGUGACUCAGUUGCAACGCUCCAGGACAACUGGCAGACCCAUGCCAGCCAUCCAACAGCCCCUCCUAGUGCGUUGCCCUUGAACUUCGUCAGUGACAACUUGUCACGUGGGGAUGACAAACAUGCACCAGUGCCACCGUGUUCUGAGGCAAGAAGGAUCCAAGUGAUACGAAGGCACCACGCAUGAAUCUGCAGAAUUCUGCAUGUCAUCAGAAGAAGGCAAUGCGAGGCAAAUGCGCUUGCAGAGCAUGAGGCUUGCGGCCCUUUCUUGCUCACUAGUUGUGUGUUUCUGCUGCAGGAGAAUGGUGGUGCACAGACGACGGAUGAUCUUCCAGUGUAGUGAGUCAUGCAUGCGGGACGGUGGCUUGGGGGCUGUAGCCAGCGCCUGAGAAGAGUGAAGACUUUCAAAAAUUGACCUAGCUCGUGACCUGGUACAUAGAUAUGACCCCCUAAUUUGUAUGUUUAAGUUGGAUCAUUCUUAUAUUUUGAACACCGUAGGCUUGGCCGAGACAACGGUAGUGUGUCAGAAGAUGUGGUGAAUGAAAAUGUCAUGUGUCCAAUUGCAAUUUUGGGUCCUUCUGUGGUCUAGUGUUGGUGCAAAUGGCUGUGAAACAGCAUCUAUGUCAGUUUCCAAGCUGGCAUCAACGA